AGAGUUUGAUCCUGGCUCAGGACGAACGCUGGCGGCGCGCCUAACACAUGCAAGUCGAACGGAGCUGAGAAGAGCUUGCUUUUCUUAGCUUAGUGGCGAACGGGUGAGUAACGCGUGAGUAACCUGCCCUGGAGUGGGGGACAACAGUUGGAAACGACUGCUAAUACCGCAUAAGCCCACGGCCCGGCAUCGGGCUGAGGGAAAAGGAUUUAUUCGCUUCAGGAUGGACUCGCGUCCAAUUAGCUAGUUGGUGAGGUAACGGCCCACCAAGGCGACGAUUGGUAGCCGGACUGAGAGGUUGAACGGCCACAUUGGGACUGAGACACGGCCCAGACUCCUACGGGAGGCAGCAGUGGGGGAUAUUGCACAAUGGGGGAAACCCUGAUGCAGCGACGCCGCGUGGAGGAAGAAGGUUUUCGGAUUGUAAACUCCUGUCGUUAGGGACGAUAAUGACGGUACCUAACAAGAAAGCACCGGCUAACUACGUGCCAGCAGCCGCGGUAAAACGUAGGGUGCAAGCGUUGUCCGGAAUUACUGGGUGUAAAGGGAGCGCAGGCGGACCGGCAAGUUGGAAGUGAAAACUAUGGGCUCAACCCAUAAAUUGCUUUCAAAACUGCUGGCCUUGAGUAGUGCAGAGGUAGGUGGAAUUCCCGGUGUAGCGGUGGAAUGCGUAGAUAUCGGGAGGAACACCAGUGGCGAAGGCGACCUACUGGGCACCAACUGACGCUGAGGCUCGAAAGCAUGGGUAGCAAACAGGAUUAGAUACCCUGGUAGUCCAUGCCGUAAACGAUGAUUACUAGGUGUUGGAGGAUUGACCCCUUCAGUGCCGCAGUUAACACAAUAAGUAAUCCACCUGGGGAGUACGACCGCAAGGUUGAAACUCAAAGGAAUUGACGGGGGCCCGCACAAGCAGUGGAGUAUGUGGUUUAAUUCGAAGCAACGCGAAGAACCUUACCAGGUCUUGACAUCCCGAUGACCGGCCCGUAACGGGGCCUUCUCUUCGGAGCAUUGGAGACAGGUGGUGCAUGGUUGUCGUCAGCUCGUGUCGUGAGAUGUUGGGUUAAGUC
rnacentral:rRNA from 1 species